rnacentral:rRNA from 1 species
GUGCACCAGGCGCGAAAACUCCACAAUGUGGGAAACCACGAUGGGGGAACUCCCAGUGCGCACACUUUGUGUGCGCUGUUCUCCUGCCUAAAAAGCAGGAGAAGUAAGGGCCGGGUAAGACGGGUGCCAGCCGCCGCGGUAAUACCCGCGGCCCGAGUGGUGCUCAUUAUUAUUGAGUCUAAAACGUCCGUAGCCGGUCGGGUAGAUUCCUGGGUAAAUCGAACCGCUCAACGGCGCGCAUUCCGGGGAGACCGCCCGACUAGGGGCCGUGAGAGGCGUGAGGUACGCUUGGGGUAUGGGUAAAAUCCUGUAAUCCUGAGCGGACCACCAGUGGCGAAGGCGUCGCACUAGAACGGAUCCGACGGUCAGGGACGAAGCCCAGGGGCGCAAACGGGAUUAGAUACCCCUGUAGUCC